rnacentral:lncRNA from 1 species
CAACCACAAACUAGGCACCCGCUCGCGUCAUGAACAACAUGCCAAAAUAGCUGGACGACCAUAGACAGAUGAACAACAUGCCGGACUCACCGGACAACCAUAGUCGGGCUGGGAACAAACAAAAUGGUUCCUCAUUCGCACUGUUACAUGAAUCAACAGAGAAGAACCAGAAAAACUGGGGCAAAUAACAACAUGCUGGACUCGCUGGACAACCAUAGUCGGGCUGGGAACAAACAAAACGGCAACAUGCCUUCAUGGUCGCCCUGUUACAUUAAUCAGUAGAGAAGAAUCAGAAAACUGGGGCAAAUAUAUUAUGAACAGACCAUUCAAGAAAAUGAUAGUUAUUUAUAAUAAUAACACAAACUGAGCUAGUACCAUGCUUUUUGUUCUCCAGCUAGUUAAAAUGAGAUACUCUCAUACAAGAAAGCAGAGAUACAAUAUGAAAGCUAACAGUAGGGAUGCCACAGCUUAAAUGAGCAAGCUAUUUUGUUUUUGAGAAACAAAAAAUGCACCAAUAAUUUUUCAGAAGGUAACAGAACUUCUGUGCACACAUUUAGAUAGAAACAAGGGCUUGAACUAUACACAUUAAUUAGAACAGGAUCGCCAAACACCAAUAUAUGCUAGAAUAAAAAAACACGGAGGUAGUAGUGGUCGUCCAGGGAGAUAAACAUAGAAAAGAAAACAUGAUUUCAGCAAAAUUAAAAUUGUCGGUGUAAGUUGAAUAACAGUGCAGCAGAUUAGCUCUUAGCAUGGAGGAACAUCACCAAAUUAAACCAGAUGGUUGUUCAAGUUUCUAUUUGAGUAUUCAUGGUUACAGUUUGUUAUCAUCGUCUAAAUUCUCCAACAUGUACAAUAUUAAUUAAUACAGCUGAAUAUGCUACCAAUGAAGUAAACUCUAAAAGAUACAGGCAGGGCUUAAUUAACCAACCUUGUCAUUCUAUAAACACAAACCAAACUCAACGAUAAGGUGUACAAUUAUUACCAUAUAACCUAGAAAACAUACCUACUGUCCACACAUUUCAUAAUGUAAACAGGUAAAUACUACAGGAAAUAGAUUGCUAAGCAUUUCUGCCCUUCUUUCAAGCCACCAACAGCAUAACACCCUCAGUAUAACAAGAUCCACACAGACCACCAUCUACAGCAACCGUACCCACAAGACAACCAGGGUCGGAGAGAGUGAGAUUACCUUGGCGCCGUAAAUCUUAGAAGACAAAUCGUGUGCGAGGAAGUCCUUGUCGUCCACCGCCAAGCAGCAGGAUGCUCCCGCCGAGCCUACAGAAAGUUUUGCAUAUAGUUAGAAAACCUGGAAACAUACAGCAUGGCUACCACAACGUAGCAUUGAAGGAAAAAAAACUAAGAGCAUGUAACUGAACCUCCUGCAGCUCUAGCCUCUAGCAUGCACCCGAGCAACCUAUGCUUUCUCUGUCUCUUGGUCGUGACUGCAGAAAGAAAGCAACAAUUUUACCAUCCUGCAGUUGCCUCAAGUAGAUGGAAAGCUCAAUAUGUAUGAGUAAGGAUAAUUUGCCUCCAGAAGUAGUGACUAGAUUCAUAGAAAACAGAACAAUAAAGUCAUGCCAUGACCAAAUCCGAACCAGAAUGCAUUUAAUAAAAUGGAUUGCAUCUGGCUGCUGUAAUAGUGUAUAUAUACACAUACACAACUUGCUCCAUUUUGACUAAUGACGUCAAAGGAACCAUGUAAAAAAUUGAACCAGAGGCAUACAUACACGAACCCUUUUCUUGCACAUAUGGAUGUGCUAACGCUACAACUAACAUUAAAGCAGAAUAUAUAUCCAUGUUAUAACAGUAAAUAAAUAUACAUAGAUACAGAAACUUAUCAUACAGUUUGUGGUACCCACUUCUAGGAUGAGCUUGUGAACAAGAACUGGGGCAUCUAUAAUGAUAUGAUAGUCCAAUUUCAACAGACUCUGCACUGGAGCCCAAAACAGCAAUGACCACAUUGGAAUGUGUUUCGCUGGAACCUUACUACAUCAGGGUCUUUCACUGUAGACUCUAUGUAUCGUGCGCUCACACAUUCUGAGGUACCAGUGAGUAAUAACAAGAAAAUUUGGAAGUCUAAGAUUCCAUUAAAAGUGAAAAUUUUCAUGUGGUAUCUUCGUAGGGGGUUGUGUUAACCAAAGACAAUCUCGCACGACGCAACUGGCAAGGAAGUAAGAAGUGUUGUUUUUGUACUCAUGAUGAGACAAUCAAACACCUCCUUUUCCAAUGCAAGUUUGCGCGUUCUACGUGGUCAGUCAUCCAAAUAGCGUCAAAUUUGUAUCCGCCCAUAAAUGUUGCCAAUAUUUUUGGUCAUUGGCUGGACGGUAUUUUAAAUAGGUUCAAAACGCUAAUAAGGGUGGGAGCGUAUGCCUUAAUUUGGUCGCUUUGGCUAUGUAGAAAUGAUUUUGUUUUUAAUGGAAGAAAUGCUUCUCCUCUACAGGUUAUUUUCCGCUGUACACAAUUGCUACGUAUGUGGUCUAUGUUACAACGACCGGAGGACCAACCGCUGUUCAAGGCGGUCUGUAUGCGAUUGGAGCAGGUGGCUAUGGAGGUUUUUUCCCCACAUGGGUGGCAACAUAACCUUCGGAUCGAUCCACCACCUCCUUCGACAUAGGCAUAGUGUCGGUCUAUAGGGCUCUACUGUUGCCGAUUUGUCGGUUUUUUUCAUCAAUUUUUUGUCAGACCUUCAUAUUGGGCUGUGUGCAUCCUACUUAUGCAGAGGCCGGGUGUUACUCAUAAUGCUUUGUAUCUGCUUGAUGCUACAUUUGAGAUAAUAAAAUCGCCCUUUAUCGGAAAAAAGCCCACUACGGUUUAUCCACCCAUACACUAACUACCACGACAGUGCAAUUCCCGACAGCGCGUGCAUCUGCAUUCAAUCAGCAACAUGGGACCAUCGCAACAAAGCAAUUCACGAUCAAACCGCGCGAACUCCUCCAGUAGGUUCAACCUUUCCAGAAAAUCAAACGCCGUCGGUACACUCAAACAAACACCUCGCGUGCGAGAUCUAGGAAAUGAACGACAAAAGACCAAGAUGAGCGGCAGUAUGAAGGGGAUACCUUGAUGGUGUGUGCGGGGACAGCGGAUCCAUACAGGGCUCCACCUCCCAUCAGUUCCAUUCACGCUCCAGACACGAAAUAUAACUGCACGAACAGCAAACAGCAAACUGAUUACUAUUACUCCAGACACGAAACCAGCAACGUCUUAACAGUAAGAUCCACGACAAGUAGACAAAGAACUGCUACGUACCAAACUCCAAAUGUUAAUUACCACCAUAAAGGAGUAUACAUAAACAACAUCUAUUUUUCAGAAGGGCUGUUGAUUCUACACCUCAUAGAUGCAAACAACCAACUGAUUACUAGUCCAGAUAAGAAUUUGGUAACUUUUUAAAAGUAACAGAGAGCACGGGAACAGUGUCUGAUGCACCCAUAGCAGGCAUGUAGGUGGAGAUCUGUCACAAAAUCACGUAUGUAAACCCCAGGUAACUAGACGAUGGGACUGAUAUUACAAACAAGUGAAUGGCCGCCACUCAGAACCAUAAAAAAAAUGCCGUUUAUAUUCAUCAGAAUUUUGCUCAGUCUAGAAAGGUGCAAGAUCUAUCUAUCCAUCCAUCCAUAUCGGCGUCCGCUCAAGCGAGACCUCGCGGAUCUCUAGGAGGCGCUGGUUGUCCCAGCACGAGCUACGGCUGGGACGGGAUGAUCUACAUCCAGGCAGAGCGCGCCCGCGUCGGCCCCCGUCCGACGGUCGCUCGCAGGAAACCAAUAGCGAUCGCAUAGAGAGGCGGGGAAUGUUGACGGCGGGCAGGCAGGGUUACCUCAUGGCUCGCCGCGGGGACGGGUCGAUUCACCAGUCGCCGAUUCACCUGCGGAUCUCGACAUCGCUAGCCAGACCCCGCCGCCAGCACCGCAUGUCGCACGAAGAGGACGCCAGCCGUCCGCGUUCGUCCCCGCGCCCUUGGGAGGGUCCGAGGAGAGCUCCGGUUCCGAGGGGUCGGCGGGC